rnacentral:rRNA from 1 species
UUUUGGACAAUGGGGGCAACCCUGAUCCAGCAAUGCCGCGUGAGUGAAGAAGGCCUUCGGGUUGUAAAGCUCUUUUGUCAGUGAAGAAACAGCAGCUCUAACACAGUCUGCGAAUGACGGUACCUGAAGAAUAAGCACCGGCUAACUACGUGCCAGCAGCCGCGGUAAUACGUAGGGUGCGAGCGUUAAUCGGAAUUACUGGGCGUAAAGCGUGCGCAGGCGGUUAUACAGGACAGGCGUGAAAUCCCCGGGCUUAACCUGGGAAUGGCGCCUGUGACUGUAUAGCUAGAGUGUGUCAGAGGGGGGUAGAAUUCCACGUGUAGCAGUGAAAUGCGUAGAUAUGUGGAGGAAUACCAAUGGCGAAGGCAGCCCCCUGGGAUAACACUGACGCUCAUGCACGAA